rfam:Colletotrichum orbiculare MAFF 240422 contig00444, whole genome shotgun sequence.
GGUCUGGUGGUGUAGUUGGUUAUCACGUCAGUCUAACAGUCUUUCGCCGGCUCGAAACUGUGCACUGAAGGUCUCCGGUUCAAGUCCGGGCUAGAUCA